AUUCGUGUGGAGGGCAUUUAAUCAACAACUCCUUGAAUCGCUCCCAACUCUCAUAGAACUGCUCAUCCUCCUCUUGAGUGAAAGCACUUAUUUCCUUUCUAUACU